AUCUCCUCGCCAGCUCUGAUUCGUGGACAGCAACAGCCUCAGCCUCACACGAAUGUUAUCUUCACUGGCCUCGAGUGCAAAAUGCUGUGGCCGAGCGGCGGAGAGGAAGAUGGCUGCCACCAGCCUCAGCUCCUCCUCCCCGCCCAGGGUUACUGCAAAACUAGCAGGAGUCUCCAGAUCUUCCUCGCUCUACACCCAGCUCCGCUUCUGCUCGAGGCAGCCCUUCCAGAAACCGGCAACAGCUGCAGCCUUCCGGAAGCUCCAACCCGAGCUUCUCCUGCUGAGCUUGCCGGCUAGGAAUAGGCAUGCAAGAACCAGCAGCCGAGCCACGGACAACGACCAAGCGGCGCCGGCCGCGGCGCAAGAAACGACGACCCCCUCUCCUGUUCCUCCGGCUGCUCCCAGCCCCAGCGCCGAGAAAUCCCCCGUGACGCCGGGCAACGGCCAGCCGCAGCAGCCGGUCGCCAACGCCAACGGCAGCGCGCCGAGCGAGCCGCCGAAGCGGGCGCCCCUGACGGCCCGGGAGCGGCUGCGCGCGGCGCGCGUGCUGGGCAAGUACGCGGAGCCGUCGGCGAAGGGGGCGUCGUCGUCGCCGUCGAAAUCGAAAUCGAGCAAGCCGGAGUUCGGGAGCGGGGUGCUGGACGCGCUGCGCGAGGCGGACGCGAAGAAGGCCGGGGGCGGCGGCGGGCGGCGCGGGUCGCGGCUGCCCGAGGCGCCGGGCAACCUGUUCGACGACAGCAAGCGCGGGAUGCCCAAGGAAGGGUGGACGUUCGAGCUGCCGUUCGGGGUGGACGUGUUCCUCGUCCUCGUGUCCUUCACGCUCAUCACCACCAUCAUGUUCGGCACCGCCUUCCUCGUCUGGAAGCUCGGCGGCAUUCACUUCAACGAGUACUAGCCUGUAGACUGUCUCUAGCUUGGGGGUGAUUCUUGCAGUGCUAGAGGAGAGAAUUGCUUGGUCCUGUACUAUAUUGAUCCCCCCCGGACGUGGGUUUCCGGCAGUUUUUUUGAAAACAUAGGAAAUGUCGUGUCCGUACGAAGUAGUAAUCUACAAACAUGUUCUAGUGUCGCCACAAGCGAGAUUGGGCAAGGAAUUACAAUCUAGUUAAAGUCCAGUGCUUAGCCUACGCAACAAAGUGGCUGUAGUUUAGUGGUGAGAAUUCCACGUUGUGGCCGUGGAGACCUGGGCUCGAAUCCCAGCAGCCACACACUUGGUGUAAAACUUUUUUUUCUUUUUUCUUUUCCAAUUAUAUUCUGCUUAUUAGAAUUACAUCAUUUGUUGGCUUGUUGCUAACCGACGCAUCAGAUUCGACCGGCGUUAAGCACGGACGGCUAGGACGGCACGGACUGUCUUCCUCCCCUUCCUCGCCUCUCCGCGCUCCCCCUUAUCCAUGAUUCCAUCGCCAUAGCCGCGGAACGCACAAAGGAUUCCUCCUCCAUUUUGCCAGAUGAAUCCCGACGGUGGCGGCUCCAGUUCAUCCCCGCCACCUCCGUCCCCAAGCCGAGGCGCGGACGCGGAGGCAAAGGAGGAGGAGCACGGCCGCAAGCAGGUGGUGGUGGUGCUGGUGGGCCCGCCGGGCAGCGGCAAGUCCACGUUCGCCGAUGCCGUCGUUGCCGGCUCCACCGCCGGCCGCUCGUGGGUUCGCAUCUGCCAGGAUACAAUUGGAAAUGGUAAAGCUGGGACGAAAAUACAGUGCUUGAAGGCUACAUCUGAUGCUUUGAAGGAGGGCAAGAGUGUUCUCAUUGACCGCUGCAACUUGGAACGAGAGCAGCGCGCUGACUUUGUGAAGCUGAGCAGCACAUUGCAUGUGGAUGUGCAUGCUGUAGCCCUGGAUUUACCUGCUAAGGUCUGUAUCUCGCGUGCAGUGAGCCGUAAGGGCCAUGAAGGAAAUCUGCAGGGUGGAAAGGCCGCCCUUGUUGUGAACCGGAUGCUGCAGAAGAAGGAAACACCCUUGCUGACAGAAGGUUUCAGUAGGAUCAUGUCCUGUAAUGAUGAUGGUGACAUUAAAAAGGCAGUUGAUAUGUAUAAUGCUUUAGGGCCUUCAGAUUGUCUUCCAUCAGGAAUUUUUGGUCAGAAGAGCAAAGGACCCAUACAAGUUGGUAUAAUGAAGUUUCUAAAGAAGAGUGAUACUUCCAGUGUUGAGAAAUCCAGUGGACCCAAGAUUACAUUGAGUGAAAGCAAGCCAGAGCAGCAAAACCCUUUAGCAAAACAUGAAAAGGUUGAAGAUGGUAUGUCCUGCCCAAUGGAAGUUGAGAAGGGGUUGAAUGACAAGAAUGAAAAUGAAAAGCAUGCUAAAGAAUGUGAUUCUGAUGAUGUUGGUUCCUGCACUCUGGCAUUUCCAUCUAUUUCUACUGCUGACUUCCAAUUUGAUCUUGACAGAGCAUCUGACAUUAUAGUAGACACAGCUGCUGAUUUCUUGCAGAAAUUUGAUAAUAUCAGACUAGUUCUUGUAGACCUGAGCGAGAAAUCAAGAAUAUUAUCAUUGGUCAAAGAGAAGGCUUCUAAAAAGAGCAUUGACUGCAGCAGGUUUUUCACAUUCGUGGGAGAUAUCACUCAGUUGCACACGAAAGGAGGUCUUCGGUGCAGCGUGAUUGCUAAUGCUGCUAACUGGAGGUUAAAGCCUGGAGGUGGAGGGGUUAACGCUGCUAUAUUCAGUGCUGCUGGAGAAUCUUUACAUCAUGCAACCAAAAAAUGUGCUGAUGCACUGAGGCCAGGAACCUCUGUUGUUGUUCCACUUCCAUCAAUUUCUCCUCUGCAUCAACGAGAAGGUGUGACCCAUGUCAUCCAUGUGCUUGGGCCAAAUAUGAACCCGAUGCGGCCAGAUUAUCUGAAGAAUGAUUAUAUCAAAGGGUCUAAGAUUCUUCGUGAAGCAUACAAUUCGCUUUUUGAGAAUUUUGCAUCCAUUGUCCGGGGCCACAUGGGAAAGCAGAACGGAAAGUUGGGGGCAGAAAUGUCAGCAUCUGGAGGGACAUCACCCAAUGACACAAAAAUGAAGCGUGAGGACAGCCAUGGAUCUGAAAGGAUGAAAAAACAUAAGUUGCUUCCACCCAUCAUGACUGCAAAGCAACAGCAUGAGCAUACGAAGGCUAACACGCCAAAUUACCAUGAUAAGUCUAUGACUUCAUCUGCUGCUCCAAACCAAGCUAGGGAAGGAGACACAAAAAAGAGUGGCGUGGUCGCCAGUAAGACUUGGGGAUCAUGGGCCCGGACCCUUUAUGAACUUGCCAUGCACCCAGAGAAAUACAAGAACACAGAUUCUAUCCUGGAGACAUCUGACGAAUUUAUUGUUCUGAAAGAUCUCUAUCCAAAGGCUAAAAAGCAUGUUUUGGUGAUAUCUAGGACAGAUGGUCUUGACUCCCUAGCAGAUGUCAAAAAAGAACACUUGCCUUUGCUGAGGAGGAUGCAUUCAGCUGGGGUGAAAUGGGCACAUAAGUUCCUGGAGGAAGAUGCAUCUUUGGUAUUCAGGCUUGGAUACCACUCGGUUCCAUCUAUGCGGCAACUGCAUCUUCACAUUAUUAGUCAGGAUUUUGAUUCCACGAGCUUGAAAAAUAAGAAGCAUUGGAACUCCUUCACCACACCGUUUUUUCGUGAUUCUGUUGAUGUCAUCGAGGAGAUUGAGCAACAUGGAUCAGCAACCGCCAACAGUGAUGAAAAGAUACUGGCAAUGGAACUUCGGUGCCACAGGUGCAGGAGCGCGCAUCCAAACAUCCCAAAGCUGAAAUCCCACAUCGCGAACUGUAAAUCUUCCUUCCCUUCGCAUCUUCUGCAGAAAAACAGGUUGGUAUCUUCGUAGACACGAUGCAUAUGGAUUGCACUUAGAAGUUGGAAUUAGCUAUGGCUUUGCGAGCACAUUUUGUAUCUCGUGCUUGGACAAACCUUUUGUUUUUGUUUCUUAUGCUAACUUCGCAGAAUCCUAUCUUCUCUGAACUGCGGUUUUGGAAAACUGCUACUGGUUCUAACAUGUCAGCCGUCUGUUUGUGACGUGAGAAUGCACUUCAUCCUGAAGCA